AACCAAUUAACCAAACCCUUGAAUCUCGUCUCUCUCCAUCUCUCAACUCUCACCUGCUCCGCCCCCGCCGGCUGCUUCUACUUCCAAUCCACCGGUGGCCGGCAUCUCCUAGAUUAGGGGCUCUAAUCUCCGACACUGUAAGUGUAUCCGGUAUCUCCAAAGUUGAAACCCCAAUCCUCCCCCACCCAACUCCGCAGGACCGUAACUGCCAUCGCCUCUCGCCAAGCAUCAGCUGCCGCCUCUAAAGAAGAAGAACUGAAGAAAAGAAGCCGUGGGCAGCAGUGGCUUACUGACCUUGAUUUCAAUUUGAAGAAAAGAAGUCGUAGGCCCGCCGGCCGUAGCCCAGCAGAAGAACGAUUGAACGAAGAAGGUGAAGGUGGUUUUGCAAAAGCUAAUGUUGUUGAAGCAUACAAUGGAGUCAAUAUUACAGUGAUGGUUGGUGGUUUCCUUAGAAAAGAGGAAAGAUGUGAUAUUAAAGAAUGUUUCAUAUACAAAUCCAGAAAUCCCAGGCUUCGGUUCUCAAGAAGCAUGCUGCUGCCAACAACAAGAAUAUGCCAAAAACAAGCAUUGAGCAAAUAAAUAUUUGCAACACUUAGCCCCAUGCACUUCUCCACUGACAAAGAAAGGAUUCUCUCAAGGCUGACAGUUCAGAGAUCGUGGGUUUGAUUCGUGGAGCUCUUGGAAGGCAAGACAUAUACUGGAAGACAUAAUUUAUCUUGGAAAGCAGGAAUGUCUUGGAAGAUAAGGCGCAACGUGGAUUGGCUCACUAGACACUUUGGCAGUUCAGUUGGAGAGGCGCUCGGACCCUGUUCAGUAGGAGGCACAUCCCGCGGUUUAAUUUGUCUGUGUGAAGAGGGAUUGGAUCACAGACCCAAUAAAUAGUCGUCGAAGGUGGACACCUUGAUAAAAAUAUAUAUAUAU